UACGUAGGGUGCAAGCGUUAAUCGGAAUUACUGGGCGUAAAGCGUGCGCAGGCGGUUAUGUAAGACAGGUGUGAAAUCCCCGGGCUUAACCUGGGAACUGCAUUUGUGACUGCAUAGCUAGAGUACGGUAGAGGGGGAUGGAAUUCGCGUGUAGCAGUGAAAUGCGUAGAUAUGACGGAGGAACACCGAUGGCGAAGGCAAUCCCCUGGACCUGUACUGACGCUCAUGCACG
rnacentral:rRNA from 1 species